UGCCCAGCAACUCCUAUCCCUACCUCCACGCGGUACUGGCCAGAAACUAUGAGCAACUUUAGGGAAGAUCGGGUAACCAACCCCGGUGGGAACUUUGGUCGUAGGCUGACAGGGAAGG
rfam:Aedes albopictus isolate Foshan contig67450, whole genome shotgun sequence.